rnacentral:rRNA from 1 species
GACGAACGCUGGCGGCGUGCUUAACACAUGCAAGUCGAACGAUGAACCGGAGCUUGCUCUGGGGAUUAGUGGCGAACGGGUGAGUAACACGUGGGCAACCUGCCCCAGACACCGGGAUAACCAUUCGAAAGGAUGGCUAAUACCGGAUACGAACACUUCGGGCAUCCGAUGGUGGUGGCAAGGAUUCUGGUCUGGAAUGGGCCCGCAGCCUAUCAGCUGGUUGGUGGGGUAAUGGCCUACCAAGGCGACGACGGGUAGCCGGCCUGAGAGGGCGACCGGCCACACUGGGACUGAGACACGGCCCAGACUCCUACGGGAGGCAGCAGUGGGGAAUAUUGCGCAAUGGGCGAAAGCCUGACGCAGCGACGCCGCGUGAGGGACGAAGGUCUUCGGAUUGUAAACCUCUUUCAGCAGGGAUGAAGCGAAAGUGACAGUACCUGCAGAAGAAGCACCGGCUAACUACGUGCCAGCCGCCGCGGUAA